rnacentral:tRNA from 3 species
GAGAGUGAGGGGGCGGAUGUAGCCAAGUGGAUCA